AACGAACGCUGGCGGCAUGCCUAACACAUGCAAGUCGAACGAGACCUUCGGGUCUAGUGGCGCACGGGUGCGUAACGCGUGGGAACCUGCCUUUAGGUUCGGAAUAACUCAGAGAAAUUUGAGCUAAUACCGGAUAAUGUCUUCGGACCAAAGAUUUAUCGCCUUUAGAUGGGUCCGCGUAAGAUUAGCUAGUUGGUAGGGUAAAGGCCUACCAAGGCGACGAUCUAUAGCUGGUCUGAGAGGAUGACCAGCCACACUGGAACUGAGAGACGGACCAGACUCCUACGGGAGGCAGCAGUGGGGAAUAUUGGACAAUGGGGGCAACCCUGAUCCAGCGAUGCCGCGUGUGUGAAGAAGGCCUGAGGGUUGUAAAGCACUUUAGUUGGGGAGGAAGAAUCCAGAGAUGAAUAAGCUAUGGAAAUGACGUUACCCAAAGAAUAAGCACCGGCUAACUCUGUGCCAGCAGCCGCGGUAA
rnacentral:rRNA from 1 species